UUAUGGUUGCUCAGUUUCUUCAGAAAGCAACUCAUGGAGAAGUACAAACCACAGUUAGAAAGUUGAGAGAUUUCAAUGAGAAGCACAGGACCUUUAAGUCACAUGGUUACCUUCAGAAUGCACUCACCAAUUGAGCCAGCUUAUAAACUACCCCUGCUCUAAACAGGCUAUCCUAUCCAGCAAGGUCACUCAAUCCUGUGAACAGCCAGUGCCAUUCCAAGGGGAAGGCAUAUUAACUCAGAAAAUGCUGACACACCUGACCUUUCAUCCCUGCCACUCAGCAGUUCUACAGAAGACCAAUUUGUAUGCAAACAAUUCACUUACAAGCCAGAAUUCCUACAAGCAUAAUACAGUUUUUCUGUAAACUCUU
ensembl:lncRNA LINC02499 long intergenic non-protein coding RNA 2499